UGUAUAUAAGCUGGACAGUGUGAGGCUUUCUCAGUUCCUAGGUGCGGGUGCGUGAAGCAGAGAUAACAAAGUGGAUCAUGGCAACUUUCCUCUUCUUGGUGCAACUCCUCUGCAUUGGGACACUAAUUGUCCCAGCAUAUACACAAAGAUGUGAUUUGCUCCAGAAUGCAACUGCAAUCAAUUUCACCCUAACCGUGAUACCUGAGGCAUUCCACGCAAACACAAGCUACUUAGUUACAAUUAGUGACAACACAAACCUCACUGACAGCAAGAAUGUGACCAAGUAUUUACUGCAAGCCUUCUCCCCACAAAAUCACUCUGUGGGAGUAUGGAAUGUGGCAGAGACGGUCAACUGCAGUUCCAUUGACACGGUGGUAUUAAAUGCCACUCAGAAAACAGCAAACUGGACAUCUCCAGACAGUAACAUUUCUUCUGUGGCAAUAAGGGCAUAUAUCAUCUUCGCUGAUAAUUCUGUCAAAUUCAACACUGUGACACUGAACAGAGAAUCAGAAACAACCACAGCACAGCCAAUCACCAACUCCACCAUCAACUCUGUCUCCAUGAUUCAGAGCAGCUCCUUCUUCAUAACUGUCAUCCAGUUGCCACUGCUCCUUGUCACAAGCAAACUGCUCUCCUAGGAGUCAGGAAGAGAAGAUGACCCAACUGUGGUACACCUUUCCUCCUUGCUUGUGGUAUGCAUGGGCGGGCAGGCAGCUUAUCUACUCAGGAAAACUAUUCACUUCUGUGUAUUAGGAUGAUAACUGCACUUCUACAUUCAAUUAUAAAGGUCUAUUUGAUCACAGAGCUNNNNNNNNNNNNNNNNNNNNNNNNNNNNNNNNNNNNNNNNNNNNNNNNNNCACCCCAGGGCCAGCAAUCCCAACAACAUGAAAUGUUUCAUACCAAGUCAGACAUCACUCUGUUCUCAGCUAGAGAAACAUAGCAUGGUCAAGAGCAGACCCUGUCUAACAACGGAACUGUAUCGGAAUGAAUUCCUUCCUCAUCACCUGGGGUUCUGUGAAGCAAUACAAAAGGUGCAAAAAUGCUUGAAGAGGGUAAAGGCCCUAUCAAGGUACCAGAGUCUGCUGAGAAGCUCAAGGAGAGGUCUCCUUUUGGCUGUGCAGUGUGGGACCUGCUCUCACAGCAUGUGUGUGUGUAUGGGCCUCAGUGACACAGUCCCCCCCCAGUAUAUUCACCAAAACUGCUGGAAGCAGAAUUGAUCCUGGGAAGGGAAAUUAAGGAAUUAGGAUUCACGACUCAGCCAGUUCAAAACCUCCAGUGCAAGCACAGAGAAGUGUGCCCUCCACCUGGACAAGCUUGGCAGCAGCAAACUGGAGAUCCUGCUGGCAGGGUAUCCUUCACAAAGGCUCCUCAUUAUUAUUAUUGAUUCAGCAUCCCCUAAAUUUUGUUGUUUCAGUGGAUGCCUUGUAAGGUUUCUUUGGUUAUCCUCUGGCUUUUCAGAAUGGCAGAGUGGGUAUUUUUUAUCCUCAUUUUUUAAUCAACAACUGAUUUUGCUAUAGGGCAAGAUUGUACCGGCCACUGAAUGUCUUGCUUUUACUGUUAUUACUAUUGUUUGUACUUUUAUAUGGAUGGUGUUUAUUUAGAAAAUGUCAAACUUCUGGAAAGUAAUUUUUUCUUAAACUAAUCUAAAUAAAUUAAGGAAUGAAAGUUGGCUCUUGUAUG
rnacentral:lncRNA from 14 species